UGCAGACCUAGACCCUGAUGAGUCUUCCACUGUUAGAUUUGUACAAUUGUUACAUUGGAGCAGCGUGCAAAAUGAGCUAUGUUGAUACAUUGUAUAAUUUCACCGCUUGUUAUAACCAAGCACACUGUCCAGACUUUGCAAGUUCACUGUCAUACAGCCUCUGUGAGUGUCAGAGAGUGGAAAUGGAGCACCGCUUCGUGACCGGCAUGUUUGCAGCUUUACAGCAAAGAAAACGGCUUGUAUCUAACCAAAACGCUGACAGUCUGCAAAGGAUCCCGGUUGCAUUAUGGACUCGGCGGAGACGAUGAAAUAGAUGCUAUUCUCCCAUUCUGUAUGAACGUUUUUUCAAACACACCAAGAACAGAGGAUAUAACCGUCCCAUCAAAUCCCCCGGGAACCUCCACCCACUCGCUCCAUAUUCAAGACCCAAACAAGGGACGCACAACUCAGGCGCAAGUGCAUUGCGCAGAAUCACCUCAGCCCCAGAAGUGUUACUGGGCCGGAAACUUACUGCUUCAAGAAAUGGCGCUACAUGGACACGACUCCAAUGAGACAUGCCCGGUAGAAUCUGGAAUGCUUGGUGAAAAAAGUCUAGAGGCAAUGGUUUCCGGUGAUUCGUCAGUACAGCCCUCAUCAAAAAAAGCCCAGACUCCUCCCCAGCGUAUAACGGCACAGAAUACCAUACACAACGAGAGCACGCGGAGGAUUUCGGCACACAGGACAUCCCCAAUAAAACACCAAAACCAGAUGAUUUCAAAGAUUUCAAUGGCAUUUCGGAGGUAGACGACUUGAUGUUAUGUGAAGCGGCCAACCUUCUUGAUUCAUCCAAUUCUUUUGUAGAAACACCCAAACUUGAAAUAGAACAAGCUAGGUUCUCACAGCCUUUCCAGAAAUGUUUUGCUACACAAAUGAAUGGUGGCUUUCCUCGAGUGGCGAUACAGUCAGGAUCUAUCCUUCUGGCAUCGAACAAUACCACGUUUGGUAAACAACAAACCGAUUAAAAAAAGCAAAUACAGAUGCUAAAAACCUAUAUGUAACAUGUAUCCUUCCAGAAUACCACAAGAACACACAUCAUUAAUUACCCAAAUGGAUAAGCCAACAGACGUAAUCCCAGAUACUGCCCGAACUCCAAGCUUUAAUUUACCAGAUCAAUGAGGCUGGGGUAACAGACAUAAUUCCGAUAGAUGAAACCCUGUUAUCCCAGAUUCCUGCCGAACUCAUAUAAUUAAUUAAUCUUAUGGAAGAGUCCGGGACGACCGAUGAAAACCUGUUAUCCCUGACGCACUCAUAUCGUUAAUUAGCCUCUGUGGGAUAUGUGAGACGCUAGCGUUACACUCACAGACAUAAUUCAAACAGUUUUAGAAACUUCGGAGUGUUUUCUAUCCAAAUAUACUAAUUAUAUGCUUAUUAUAGCUUUUGGCUCUGAGUAGCAGGUAGUUUACUCUGGGCACCUUAUUAUCCAAGCUACUCAAUACUGCCCCCCAGUCCCAAAGAAGUUAUCCAGAUGAAUGAGAGCAUAAGAUCUUCA